rnacentral:lncRNA from 1 species
UUCAUAUUCUUCAAAAUUUUAAUUUUGUUAAGGCAGAAAAUUCGGCAACGUAUUCUUAUUGUCUUCUUUAAAAUUAUUCACAUUUUGAGUCAAAUUAAAGAGUGUUGAUGAGCUAUAAUCUAUCUAGGGUAUUCUUCCAUCGUUUGAUGAAAGAAAGCUCGAAAAUUCAGUCUUUUAUCCAAAAACUGAAAAAUUCAGAUUUAUUGCAGAGAAUAUUUGGGUCCAAAUAUCGGAUAUUAUUGAACUUGGAUAGGGGUAAGAAUACCCUACUCAAAAGUGAUUUGAAAAAAAAAAUGUAUUCCUCUCUUUUCUUUAGAAAAAUUGAGUUUUCUACUUAACUUGUAAGCAUUUACUUAAGUAGGUUAUUAACACUUUAAAUCUAUUAAUUUCAUGAUGAUUUCAUCAAAACGAAACUAGUGUGAGUGAUUUUUUUAUAUGUUUACUUUUAUGCAACUUUGAUUAAAGUACAUUCGUAACUUUUGUGAUUCGUGAAAAGUGCUUUAAAAGGUAACCUUUCAUAAUUGUUUUACUUGUUUACUUAUGGUAAGCUUUGGAUAUUAUCUUGAUUCACAUUUAAGAAGAUAAAUAUUUAGCAUGCGCAGAUGAAAGUAUUUAGGACAUAUUUCAAUGUUUAAAUGCAUACUUUAAAGUUUUAACAUAGCAAUGUUAAAUCCCAAAUUUUCAAAAUACUGGAAAUUCUUUAAAAGAUUUGUAGACCAAGGGAUGAAAGAGUCCCUAUUUCAGUUUAUAUCUUGUUGCAACUAUUGGCUAGUCCAUGUGGUGUGGCUUGAGACCAUGUGUGGCUAAUUUAGUUAUUUAUGUCAAUGGAUCCUUGCGUGGCCCAAAGACUAUUUUGGGUGCUCAGUGUACAAAAGCUCUUUAAAGAAUUGACGCCUAAAAAAUAAAAAUGAAAUUAUGUGCAAAAUCACAAUAUGAACCACAAUUAUCUCACCGAAUGUCAAUAUUCAGUCAUAUUAUGACCUUCAGUGCAGAUAAUGGAGUGUGAGUGUGAGACAUUUGAGAUGGUGGGAUGCCAAUGGAGAUUGUCGGACGAUGAUAGAGAAUAUUAUCGAACCACCCUGGUUUGUACCAUUUCAUAAACACCAAGAGGGUGGUCAAGCACUAAGAAGCACAGCCCCGUGCAUACAAACGUAUGGAUAUAUAUAGACAGUAGAGAACUCUUGACCAAAUCAAUUUCAGUACUCGUUCUGUUUUUAUUUUGUAAAAGCUUCGCUCGGUGUACAUAAUUUUUUAUAUAUCAAGAUGUCUCACACUCACAUGGGAUGGGGUUCGCUCGAAUAACAAGUUCUCGCUAAUGGUAAGAAAUGAGGUUUGAAUGUAGGGGUUGUACUUGUUUUAUCGGAUGGUUUGAAUUAUCUCCUAUCGAUCGUAUUUCUCCCGACAUGCAAUUUGUCUUUUCAGAGCUAUUGCCCCAAUUAAAAAAAAAAAAAAAAUUUCUUGUGAUAGGGCUUGUGCCUAGUCAGAAUUAUAGUGAAAUCACCUUUCCUGUUCUUUUAUUCUAGUAGGCCCCACUCCAUGUGAAUGUACAAAAAAUUAUGUACAAAUAGUGUUAUCUUUUUGUAAAUCAAUAUUUCGAUAAGUUGUUACUUUUAAGCUGGGAUCUUUUGUACAAGUUUUAUUUCAUGUUUGUGUGUCUAUAACUAGUGCUAAAUUUAUAAUAUUUGCAUAGUUAGAUGCAGUUUUGAG